rnacentral:lncRNA from 1 species
AGCAGGGGGACUGCACAGACACAGGCUGGCAGCAGGUGGUGGCCCAGCAGCAGGGCCUGCACACCACAGCCGUGCACGACGAGGGGCAGCAGGACGGAAUACCUGGUCAUGUAUAUCAUCAGAACAAUUGCUCAUCUAUCAGCUAGUCCUUCCAGGCCAUGCCAUGUGAGAAGGUGCAAGUUUGAAGAAUCCAGCCACCAUCACACUUUCCUCUUGUUCGCUGCCAUCCGUGACUUAAGCAUGGGACUGGAAUGUUCAUGAGUCACAGGCUGGGUUUCUGAUUGGCAUUGAGAUCAAGCAAGAAUUUCUUAAAAACCAAAAUGGCUCAUAAGAGCAGAUGUGUAUUGAUUCUGCUAUGGAAAGAAUGGCCCAGUGUUUAAUGACACAGUGCCUAACCUUGUUUAUAAGAAAAUCAUCACCAAAGCUGCUAGACUGAUUUUAUUUUAGUAAUCUGAGUUGGUUUAUAACUCAUUAACACUUAUGAGACACUUAUUAUGUAGAUGGUACUGUACUAUUUGGGGGUGGAGGGGGAAAGGAAAGAAAAAUAGCUUUCAAAUAGUUUCCUAUCACAUAGUAAUCAUAACUUUUAGUAAGGCAAGACAAAGAUAAAUCAAGCAAUUAAAGGGAAAGAACUUUUCUGGGAACAAUAAGGUCAAACUAAAUGGGGAUUUCAUUCAUUCUGUGCCUUUCUGAAUGCCCUUCCCUGAUUAUUGACCUAGAAAUAAAAUUGAAAUUGGGC